CUUGCCUGUCUGGGGAAGAAAUCCACUAAAAUAUGCAAGUGAGCAGUAAUUUAGGUGAAUGGUUCUUGAUUGUCAUGAAGAGCUGGAUCUGUUUUCUUGACUGUUUGCCUGCUGAGUGGUGGUUACUCAAGAGGAAGACAACGCUAUGGCUUGCUGCUCUCCACCUUGCAUUACAGGCUGGCUUCUCUGACCCUCUCUAGCACAGAUGACCUCGAAAUGGUCUCCGAGCAUCCUGCGAGGCAGGGAAGCCGCAUUAUCUCCGUAUUACAGAGGAAAAAGCUGGAGAUCAGACGCUGACCCAGCCCACCGAGGAUGCUGCGCACAGCAGGGUCACGGAAGAGCCAUGCCCAUGGCCCGUCCUUCACCCAGAUCCUCCAGCUCCGUCACGAGCAGCCAAGCAAACCCUUCCUGCGCGCUGCUGUAUGGACUCUGCGGGUUUAUUUGCUUCUCAGAGUGAAUUAAUAAAAUGGAAAAUGAGGACGAGUGGUUGCA
rnacentral:lncRNA from 1 species